GUUUCCAGUAAUAUGGAAUUAAAAGGGAAACCGGUGCAAGUCCGGUACGGUCCCGCCACUGUAAAAGGGAGCUUUUUAUCAUAUAUGUCACUGCUUAAGAGGCGGGAAGACGAUAAAAUGCGAUGAACUUAAGUCAGGAGACCUGCUUGCAUUA
rnacentral:ncRNA from 1 species